GUAGGUGGCAAGCGUUGUCCGGAAUUAUUGGGCGUAAAGCGCGCGCAGGCGGUUCUUUAAGUCUGAUGUGAAAGCCCACGGCUCAACCGUGGAGGGUCAUUGGAAACUGGAGAACUUGAGUACAGAAGAGGAAAGCGGAAUUCCACGUGUAGCGGUGAAAUGCGUAGAGAUGUGGAGGAACACCAGUGGCGAAGGCGGCUUUCUGGUCUGUAACUGACGCUGAGGCGCGAAAGCGUGGGGAGCAAACAGGGAUUAGAUACCCUGGUAGUCCACGCCGUAAACGAUGAGUGCUAAGUGUUAGGGGGUUUCCGCCCCCUUAGUGCUGCAGCUAACGCAUUAAGCACUCCGCCUGGGGAUACGGCCGCAAGGCUG
rnacentral:rRNA from 1 species